CUGACCAGUAUCAGGGUCUAGCGGCAUAGGCGUACUUGCAGACGGAGGCUCCUGUGAAGGGCGAUCUUCAUCUACAGUCGGUGCACGUUAUCUUUUCCCAGGAUGAUAUGUGGUAGACACACCAAUGGGAGAGAAGCAAGAUGUGUUUCAGUUGAACGUGUGCCAACGACAGUGAGUCACAGCGUCCUCGUCAGACAGGCAGGAUGUCUCACUAGGAAAACGGGCUCGCCCCACCCACUCUGCUUACCACGUUUUGCCAGACCUCAGCACUCCGUCAACUACUUUCUAGACAUGUCACCGUGAUCCUUGUGGGUUUACAAGGAAAUUGGAUGGCUCUUCUUGUCUGGCUUGAGAUCAAGAAUUUCUGGUUUACUGAGAGCAACUGGUUUUUUCCCAACAUGUUUAAUCUAGAUGCUACUCAGAGAAAUCCUCCCAGUCAUCAGACACUAGAGCCUGGACUCUGGAGCCAAGUGUGAUGCCAUAAAGGUUCUGGUAUUACUUUGCAAUGCGUGUCAGAAAGUUUCCCUUCAAGUUCCCUCUCAUCUUAAGGCCGAAAAACCUAUAGGCAAAGCAUCACUAGGACUGGCCUAUAACUCUGGCCAGCAUCAGGAAGGAGGGUCUUACCACAUGUCCUUAGUUUGAAAAAGUAUCAGUAUUAAAGCCUCAGGCUCCAAGUCAGUUCCUACCACGUGCAUGUUACUGUCACACUGUCUUGAAGUUGAACCAUUCUAAGGUAAGGACCUGUGAACACAAACCUCUGGAUGCUAGGGAAAGUGGAAGUAAUCCAAACCCAAUGAGAUUCAGAAUUGUUUAUUUCUUAGACCAACUCAUGAUAAACGUUAUGGGAGCGAUGUAGUUGAGGCUUGUCCUUCCUGGAUGAGGUACUUGGUUCUCGCUUCAGCACUACUAAA
rnacentral:sRNA from 1 species